rnacentral:rRNA from 1 species
CAGCCGCCGCGGUAAUACGAAGGGGGCUAGCGUUGCUCGGAAUGACUGGGCGUAAAGGGCGCGUAGGCGGAUUGUACAGUCAGACGUGAAAUUCCUGGGCUCAACCUGGGGACUGCGUUUGAGACGCGCGAUCUAGAGUUUGGAAGAGGGUCGUGGAAUUCCCAGUGUAGAGGUGAAAUUCGUAGAUAUUGGGAAGAACACCGGUGGCGAAGGCGGCGACCUGGUCCUUGACUGACGCUGAGGCGCGAAAGCGUGGGGAGCAAACAGGAUUAGAGACCCCCGUAGUCCCUGUCUCUUAUAC